rnacentral:rRNA from 1 species
CUAGCAUAUCAAUAAGCGGAGGAAAAGAAACCAACCGGGAUUGCCUCAGUAACGGCGAGUGAAGCGGCAAGAGCUCAAAUUUGAAAGCUGGCUCCUUCGGGGUCCGCAUUGUAAUUUGCAGAGGAUGCUUCGGGUGCGGCCCCUGUCUAAGUGCCCUGGAACGGGCCGUCAGAGAGGGUGAGAAUCCCGUCUGGGAUGGGGUGUCCGCGCCCGUGUGAAGCUCCUUCGACGAGUCGAGUUGUUUGGGAAUGCAGCUCUAAAUGGGUGGUAAAUUUCAUCUAAAGCUAAAUACUGGCCGGAGACCGAUAGCGCACAAGUAGAGUGAUCGAAAGAUGAAAAGCACUUUGAAAAGAGAGUUAAAAAGCACGUGAAAUUGUUGAAAGGGAAGCGCUUGCGACCAGACUCGCCUCCAGGGUUCAGCCGGCAUUCGUGCCGGUGUACUUCCCUGGGGGCGGGCCAGCGUCGGUUUGGGCGGCCGGUCAAAGGCUCCCGGAAUGUAGUGCCCUCCGGGGCACCUUAUAGCCGGGAGUGCAAUGCGGCCAGCCUGGACCGAGGAACGCGCUUCGGCACGGACGCUGGCAUAAUGGUCGUAAACGACCCGUCUUGAAACACGGACCAAGGAGUCUAACAUCUACGCGAGUGUUCGGGUGUCAAACCCGUACGCGCAGUGAAAGCGAACGGAGGUGGGAGCCCCCUCGUGGGGCGCACCAUCGACCGAUCCUGAUGUCUUCGGAUGGAUUUGAGUAAGAGCGUAAAUGUGGGGACCCGAAAGAUGGUGAACUAUGCCUGAAUAGGGCGAAGCCAGAGGAAACUCUGGUGGAGGCUCGCAGCGGUUCUGACGUGCAAAUCGAUCGUCAAAUUUGGGUAUAGGGGCGAAAGACUAAU